GCAGUGCACUGCACAGGUAGGUAUCGAUCAGUUAGACUGCAUGUAAUUGGCACCUCUCUGAGUAGGGCAAGGCU
rfam:Tupaia chinensis contig235664, whole genome shotgun sequence.